rnacentral:rRNA from 1 species
CCUACGGGAGGCUGCAGUGAGGAAUAUUGGUCAAUGGGCGUAAGCCUGAACCAGCCAAGUCGCGUGAGGGAUGAAGGUUCUAUGGAUCGUAAACCUCUUUUAUAAGGGAAUAAAGUGUGGGACGUGUCCUAUUUUGUAUGUACCUUAUGAAUAAGGAUCGGCUAACUCCGUGCCAGCAGCCGCGGUAAUACGGAGGAUCCGAGCGUUAUCCGGAUUUAUUGGGUUUAAAGGGUGCGGUGGCAGCCUUUUAAGUCAACGGUGAAAGUCUGUGGCCCAACCAUAGAAUUGCCGUUGAAACUGGGGGGCUUGAGUAUGUGUGAGGCAGGCGGAAUGCGUGGGGUAGCGGUGAAAUGCUUAGAUAUCACGCAGAACCCCGAUUGCGAAGGCAGCCUGCCAAGCCAUGACUGACGCUGAUGCACGAAAGCGUGGGGAUCAAACAGGAUUAGAUACCCCGGUAGUC